rnacentral:rRNA from 1 species
AACGAACGCUGGCGGCAUGCCUAACACAUGCAAGUCGAACGAGACCUUCGGGUCUAGUGGCGCACGGGUGCGUAACGCGUGGGAACCUGCCCUUAGGUUCGGAAUAACUCCCCGAAAGGGGUGCUAAUACCGGAUAAUGUCUUCGGACCAAAGAUUUAUCGCCUUUGGAUGGGCCCGCGUUGGAUUAGCUAGUUGGUAGGGUAAAAGCCUACCAAGGCGACGAUCCAUAGCUGGUCUGAGAGGAUGAUCAGCCACACUGGGACUGAGACACGGCCCAGACUCCUACGGGAGGCAGCAGUAGGGAAUAUUAGACAAUGGGGGAAAGCCUGAUCCAGCAAUGCCGCGUGAGUGAUGAAGGCCUUAGGGUUGUAAAGCUCUUUUACCCGGGAUGAUAAUGACAGUACCGGGUGAAUAAGCUCCGGCUAACUCCGUG